rnacentral:rRNA from 1 species
CUGUAAGCCUGUGAAGGUGACUUGUAAAGGUUGCUGGAGGUAUCAGAAGUGCGAAUGUUGACAUGAGUAGCGAUAAAGCGGGUGAAAAGCCCGCUCGCCGAAAGCCCAAGGUUUCCUACGCAACGUUCAUCGGCGUAGGGUGAGUCGGUCCCUAAGGCGAGGCAGAAAUGCGUAGUCGAUGGGAAACAGGUUAAUAUUCCUGUACUUUGAUUCAAUGCGAUGUGGGGACGGAGAAGGUUAGGUUAGCAAACUGUUGGAAUAGUUUGUUUAAGCCAGUAGGUGGAAAGAGUAGGCAAAUCCGCUCUUUCUUAACACCGAGACGUGAUGACGAGUGUUUACGGACAUGAAGUGACCAAUACCACGCUUCCAGGAAAAGCCACUAAGCUUCAGUUGAAUCAGAACCGUACCGCAAACCGACACAGGUGGGCAGGAUGAGAAUUCUAAGGCGCUUGAGAGAACUCGGGAGAAGGAACUCGGCAAAUUGAUACCGUAACUUCGGGAGAAGGUAUGCCCUCUAAUGUUAAGGACUUGCUCCGUAAGCAUCUGAGGGUCGCAGAGAAUCGGUGGCUGCGACUGUUUAUUAAAAACACAGCACUCUGCUAACACGAAAGUGGACGUAUAGGGUGUGACGCCUGCCCGGUGCUGGAAGGUUAAUUGAAGAUGUGCAAGCAUCGGAUCGAAGCCCCAGUAAACGGCGGCCGUAACUAUAACGGUCCUAAGGUAGCGAAAUUCCUUGUCGGGUAAGUUCCGACCCGCACGAAUGGCGUAACGAUGGCCACACUGUCUCCUCCCGAGACUCAGCGAAGUUGAAAUGGUUGUGAAGAUGCAAUCUCCCCGCUGCUAGACGGAAAGACCCCGUGAACCUUUACUGUAGCUUUGCAUUGGACUUUGAAGUCACUUGUGUAGGAUAGGUGGGAGGCUUUGAAGCAGAGACGCCAGUCUCUGUGGAGCCGUCCUUGAAAUACCACCCUGGUGACUUUGAGGUUCUAACCCAGACCCGUUAUCCGGGUCGGGGACCGUGCAUGGUAGGCAGUUUGACUGGGGCGGUCUCCUCCCAAAGAGUAACGGAGGAGUUCGAAGGUUACCUAGGUCCGGUCGGAAAUCGGACUGAUAGUGCAAUGGCAAAAGGUAGCUUAACUGCGAGACCGACAAGUCGAGCAGGUGCGAAAGCAGGACAUAGUGAUCCGGUGGUUCUGAAUGGAAGGGCCAUCGCUCAACGGAUAAAAGGUACUCCGGGGAUAACAGGCUGAUUCCGCCCAAGAGUCCAUAUCGACGGCGGAGUUUGGCACCUCGAUGUCGGCUCAUCACAUCCUGGGGCUGUAGUCGGUCCCAAGGGUAUGGCUGUUCGCCAUUUAAAGUGGUACGUGAGCUGGGUUUAAAACGUCGUGAGACAGUUUGGUCCCUAUCUGCAGUGGGCGUUGGAAGUUUGAAGGGGGCUGCUCCUAGUACGAGAGGACCGGAGUGGACGAACCUCUGGUGUACCGGUUGUUUCGCCAGAAGCAUAGCCGGGUAGCUAAGUUCGGAAGAGAUAAGCGCUGAAAGCAUCUAAGCGCGAAACUCGCCCAAAGAUGAGACUUCCCUUGUGGUUUAACCAUACUAAAGAGUCGUUCGAGACCAGGACGUUGAUAGGUUGGGUGUGGAAGGGUGGUAACACUUGAAGCUAACCAAUACUAAUUGCUCGUGAGGCUUGACUCU